rnacentral:rRNA from 1 species
AGUGAACGCUGGCGGUAGGCCUAACACAUGCAAGUCGAACGGCAGCACAGUAAGAGCUUGCUCUUACGGGUGGCGAGUGGCGGACGGGUGAGGAAUACAUCGGAAUCUACUUUUUCGUGGGGGAUAACGUAGGGAAACUUACGCUAAUACCGCAUACGACCUACGGGUGAAAGCAGGGGAUCUUCGGACCUUGCGCGAUUGAAUGAGCCGAUGUCGGAUUAGCUAGUUGGCGGGGUAAAGGCCCACCAAGGCGACGAUCCGUAGCUGGUCUGAGAGGAUGAUCGGCCGCACGGGAACUGAGACACGGUCCAGACUCCUACGGGAGGCAGCAGUGGGGAAUAUUGGACAAUGGGCGCAAGCCUGAUCCAGCCAUACCGCGUGGGUGAAGAAGGCCUUCGGGUUGUAAAGCCCUUUUGUUGGGAAAGAAAAGCAGCAGGUUAAUACCCCGCUGUUCUGACGGUACCCAAAGAAUAAGCACCGGCUAACUUCGUG